GCCGCCACCCUCCGCGCUGGGACGCCGGGGCGCGGGCAUCCCUGCCGCCUACGGAUCUCUUCCCAAGCACCUAGAACUUUCCAAAGCGUGCUUGGAAUUUAACACCUUGGUCGUCGAUCCCCGCAAAUAUACUCUGAUGAGACCGGCUUUCUUCCCAUACCGCCCAGGAGUUUCUCCAGGUGGCAUUCCUGUCGCCUUGAGGUGGAACAUCAGUAGAGGCUCGAGGCUGAAGCAAGCACAAUACACAAGAGACUCCGAUUCGUACAGGAACAUUUCGAAAACAGGAAAUCCUGAGGACAAUUUUCAGCUUGAGAGACAGCUGGCAAGAUGGCUGAAUAGGAACAGCUCCAGUCUGCAGCUCCCAGCAAGAUCAAUGCAGAAGGUGGGUGAUUUCGGCAUUUCCAACUGAGGAACCCGGUUCAUCUCAUUGGGACUGGUUGGACAGUGGGUGCAGCCCAUGGAGGGUGAGCUGAAGCAGAGUGUGGCAGAACCACAAGGGGUCGGGGGAUUUCCCUUUCCUAGCCAAGGGAAGCCGUGAGCAACUGUGCUGGGAGGAACAGUGCAAUCUGGCCCAGAUACUGCGCUUUUCCCACAGUCUUUGCAACUGGCAGACCAGGACAUUCCCUUCGGUGCCUGGCUCAGUGAGUCCCACCCCCACGGAGCCCAGCAAGGUCCAAUUCUUUUCUAAAAGUCUUCUGGCUAGUCCCAGCAUUUCCAGGGAAGCUGAACAGGUGCAGCCGGAGGCUUGGAGCCACUAUGGAAGCAGCACAGUUGAUGCCUCAGAGGAUCCAGAGAAAAGACCAGAUAACUAUAAUUCAGCCUUCACCCAUAUUGUGUCUUUUUGAUUUUGUCUGAGUAUAUAUGCCGCACAACAAGCAGCUUAUCUCUGAGAUUCAAAUAGUUACUGCAAUUCCAUUAUCUGUUUUUUUACUGUGAGGGAUUUGGAGCCACAUUUAGUCCUACAUCACAGAUACAGGACUCAAGAGUCAAAGUGCACAGAAAUUUGAAUUCCGAUAAGAAUACUCUGAGCCAGUUUAUUCUGGGGUACAUACUUCAUUUUAUGCUAGAACUCUGCAAUCCUGAUGAAAGAGGGCUUGCAUUGCUCAACUAACUAACUCACCCGUCUCUCCUGCAGUAUUAGAAACUACUUCUGUAUGUACACGUUACAGUUUCUAGGAACUCCAUUUUUGCAAGACAGAUAGGAGCCAGAAAAUUUGUUCCUUCAACUGUAUAUCGCUAAUUAAACAUAAAAUCAAAUCAGCAUUUUAGGUACUUGAAUAACUAGUCUGUGCUUACUUUUAUUCAUAUGGAAGCAGUGUUUAAAUUAUUCUCUGAUUGUAAACUCACUUAUGUAAACCAUUAUACAGGAAAAAAAUGAGUAAUGAAGCAAAGUUCUGAAGCAGAUCUAUGUAAGCAAAUUUCAAUAACCUUCUUAAGAGAAUAUGACACUUAGUAGUGGUGAGGGACAUUUUAAGCUUUUUCUAUUUACAAGUUUUUUUUAAACGAGGGUGUUUCAAAGUAAAUAUUUGCUGUUACGUUAUGCCACAUGAUAUACUAAUAAAUGAAUUAAUGAAAUUAACCUAAAUAUCCAGUAUUAUUAUUGAAUAUAUAGCUACUAAAAUUUUAUAUUCAAAUAUAUCCAAGGACAUGAGGAAAUAAGGAUUUAAUUCUAAACAAAAAAAGAAGCUAUGAAAUAUAUAUAAUUUAAGACUAUAAUUUUGUUAAAAAUAUGUUUAUGUAAAUGCGCUAAAAAAAGUUCUUUAAGAAUAUAUGCCAAAAUAUUGACAAUGGUUAUCCCCUGAGUGAUUUUUAUUUUCAUCCUUAGGAUUUUCUGUAUUUUCUGUUUCACAUUUUGAACAUGUAUACUUUUACAAGAAAAUAUGAACUAAAAUUAAAAAUUUUUAAACUCCUCAAGUUUCAAUUUUUUUUUUCCAG
rnacentral:lncRNA from 10 species